AGCGCCGCCGCCGGCUGACCCAGCGCUCAUGGACCCGGCCUACGGCCACCCGACCGGCCUGACGCCCGAGCAGAUCAUGUACCACCAGCAGAUGGCCGCCCACCAUCAGGCGCAGCACCUCCGCAAGCAGCGGCUGCUGCAGCAGGGCCAGCAGCCGGCGGCGCGUCAGUACCAGGCGGUGCCCACCGCUUCACUGCUGCCGGGCUCCACCGUCACAGCGAGUGCUCAGAUGAAGUCAACCACGCCUAUCGUCCUGGUGGCCAAUCAGACGCCUGCAGUCAUGGCAACGCAGAUGACGUCACACGUCGAUCCACUAGUGAGGCGCCAUCCAAUAACUGGGGACCUACUCUACACCAGCCCGGUGUUCAUACAAGGCACUCCGGUAGGCACUCCGGUGACGCCGGCCGGCACUCCGCGUGGCCUGCGCGAUGACUCGUCAGACACGAUGAGCGAGACCGACAGCCAGAAGUCGCUGCGCAUCCGACGCAAGCUGCCCUACCUACCCAUGGACCAGGAAGCGGCGCCGCUCCCCAUGGCUCGCAAACGUGACAAGCACAAACUGCUCACCAAACGGGGUCACGCGGGUCUGCACCGGCAAACGUCGCUGGACAGUGCCGACCUGCGGGAGCCGACCUCGUUGAACAGCCUGGCGCUGGCGCGGCCCAGCACCAGCAUGACCAACCUGGCGGCGGCGGCCAAGACGCCGCUGCCCGAGCUGCCGGCGCGCCCCGGCUCCGCGCUGGGCAUCAUGAGCGAGACAAACCGGCUGGCCACGCUGGAGGCGGCACGCGACAACCUGAACGCCAGCAUCGCAUCAGUGCUGCCGCCGGACCUGCAGCACCUGGUGUACAGCAAGCCGGGCGUGUCGUCUUCCUUCUCAGAAACAUUUGCCAACCAGCUGACGUACGCCAACAGUCUGAAAAACGAGCUGCGCACGGCCUCCGACGACAAGCGGCGCCUGCUGGAGGCCGAGCUGUCUGCGCUGAACGAGGAGCGGCGGCGCACGCUGCGCCAGACCAACCUGUCGCCGGCCACGCGGCAGCGGAUCGAGCAGCGCAUGGGCCUGACCUCGUUCAGCCCGACGUUGCGCCGCCGCCGGUUCCCGGUCGGCCGCCGCCACCUCAGCGACCCCAAGCUGUUCAGCGCGUCGGUCUCCCCGAUCCGCGAGGACGAGGACCUGCUGGCGGGCUACGGCGGUUCGCUGGGCUCCCGGCUCAAGUCGCUCGAGUACGAGUCACUGGACGGCCGGGACCGAGCCGGCUGGGGCGACCCAUCACACCCGUACAUCGGCGCCCCGUACGGCGGCGGCCUGCGAGACACGGCCAUCUCCUCCUACCUGGGCGAGGAGCUGCUCGAGCGUCGGCUGGCCAGCGCCUAACAGGUCCAAUGAGGGCAGUGGGUUGUGGGAUGAGGAAUUCAUCAUGUAAAGACAGUCUCUGCUGUUAAGAUCCUACCAGCGUCGGCUGAGCGACAGCGGCGUGCUCCACUCUUCCGAGUUCAGUAGAUCGUACUUGAGCGACGGUAGCCCGCGCCACCGGCUUUCGCGCAAGCCGCGCAAGCCGCGGUCCUGGCAUCCGUCGCCCUACGUGAGCGACGAGGACGACGAGAUGCUGAACCGCGAGGAGCGUCGCCACAAGAUCAAGCAGGAGAUCUCGCGGCGACGCCACCACAUCGAAGAGAACUCGACACUGCACGACGAACUGAUGCGGCUGGCGCGGCUGCGCGAGAGCGCGGAGCUCUCGUUCGGCGAGCGGCCGGACGGCGGCGGCGCGCCUCCCGGCCGUGACACCGGCCACAGCGUGCUCAAGUCCAUCGACGAGAUCAUGCGCGACGAGGGGUACGCGCGCCGCGUGCCCGAUACCGGCCUCAGCUACUACAGCUCACCACCCACGCGCAAGAUCGACUUUGAUGGCAAGCUGGGUCGCAAGUUCUCCAACUCGGACGAAGAGCGGAGCAUGAACCGGCUGGCGUCCACCUUCAACACUAACGAACUGUACUAUGACCCCAUGCCUGAGUACUCGUCUUACAGCAAACAGCGGGCCGACCCGAGCGGCUCACUUUACCUGUCUGACUCCGCGUCAAGGUCGCGUCAAAGUCAAAGGGUCGAUGACCCCAGCGCGCGCAAAUUAUACAAAGGCAAGUACGACAGACGGUGGCAUUGAUGUACCUAGUGUUGUGCGAGCAACGCUGUGUGGAAUGGUUGUUGGACCUUUACCCUUUCUCUCUCCCACGUCAGUCUUGCGCAGUGAAACUGUGUAUAAUUAUGGUUUCUCUCACCGCUUAGCUUGCCUAGUGGCCUGCUGAUCAAUGUAUCCAACGCUUCAGGUGUUUUUGGCUUCGUUUGUUGUUGUGCAAUACUUUUUCAAGGCCACAACGCUGGAUGGCCUCUGUCACUCGUGCCUGCUUUACCGUCACACUGUCGUCACUGUGCAACUGCUAAGCGAAUGGCUGGCUUCACUUUGGCACAUGGUUGGGGCCGCUGAACUUCAAACCCUGGUUGUGACCCUACCCACGUGUCAGUUUGGUUUGUGCCUUAUGGGUUUCAGAUUUGUACAGUACAGUGAACUGAUUAAUUUGGUGGCAUUCCUGUCAUAUCAUGAGGGAGAGAGAGCAAGAAAGCACAAAUUGUUGUUGAGCGGAUCGCACGCUUUUGCUUGUCUUGUACAGGUAUGGGUGUGAUUUAUUGUUACCAUAUGUGGUGUAGUGUCUGGCGAUGAAGGAUUACCUCUGUAGGACGGGAUAGCCAUUUGUUUGUGCCCUUUUCUUACUUCCCUCGAUUUGAUUGACCUGUACAGAAUCGAUGAUGAUUCAUAUCUGUAAUUGGUCUUCGAUGCCGAGGGCCAUCUUGCAUAUACAUAUAUACAUAAAUACACUGUUUUUGUUACCACA